rnacentral:rRNA from 1 species
AUUGAACGCUGGCGGCAUGCUUUACACAUGCAAGUCGAACGGCAACGCGGAGAAGCUUGCUUCUCUGUCGGCGAGUGGCGAGCGGGUGAGUAUAGCAUCGGAACGUGCCAAGUAGUGGGGAAUAACCAAACGAAAGGUUGGCUAAUACCGCGUAAGCUCCAAGGAGGAAAGUAGGGGACCUAAAUAAGGCCUUACGCUAUUUGAUCGGCCGAUGUCGGAUUGGCUAGUUGGUGGGGUAAUGGCUCACCAAGGCAAUGAUCCGUAGCGGGUCUGGGAGGACGAUACGCCACACUGGGACUGAGACACGGCCCAGACUCCUACGGGAGGCAGCAGUGGGGAAUUUUGGACAAUGGGGGAAACCCUGAUCCAGCCAUGCCGCGUGUAUGAAGAAGGCCUUAGGUUUGUAAAGUACUUUUGUUAGGGAAGAAAAGCUAGUUUUUAAUAAAAAUUAGUGAUGACGGUACCUAAAGAAUAAGCACCGGCUAACUACGUG